rnacentral:rRNA from 1 species
CACGUAGGGUGCGAGCGUUGUCCGGAAUUAUUGGGCGUAAAGAGCUCGUAGGCGGUGUGUCGCGUCGGCCGUGAAAACCUGCAGCUUAACUGUGGGCUUGCGGUCGAUACGGGCAUCACUGGAGUUCGGCAGGGGAGACUGGAAUUCCUGGUGUAGCGGUGAAAUGCGCAGAUAUCAGGAGGAACACCGGUGGCGAAGGCGGGUCUCUGGGCCGAUACUGACGCUGAGGCACGAAGGUCAGGGGAGCAAACGGG